rnacentral:rRNA from 1 species
UGGGGAAUCUUGCACAAUGGGGGAAACCCUGAUGCAGCGACGCCGCGUGAGCGAUGAAGGUUUUCGAAUCGUAAAGCUCUGUCCUAUGGGAAGAUAAUGACGGUACCAUAGGAGGAAGCCCCGGCUAACUACGUGCCAGCAGCCGCGGUAAUACGUAGGGGGCGAGCGUUGUCCGGAAUUACUGGGCGUAAAGGGUUCGCAGGCGGCAUGACAAGUCGGAUGUAAAAGGCGAAAGCUCAACUUUCGUAAGCAUCGGAAACUGUCAAGCUUGAGUGAAGGAGAGGCAAGUGGAAUUCCUAGUGUAGCGGUGGAAUGCGUAGAUAUUAGGAGGAAUACCGGUGGCGAAGGCGACUUGCUGGACUUCAACUGACGCUGAGGAACGAAAGCGUGGGUAGCAAACAGG